rnacentral:misc_RNA from 1 species
CACAGACGCCGGCUGAACACUCAACCAUUCCGCGUCGCCCUGCUGCAAUGCGUCUUACACGUUUCGGACUUUUAGCUGCUUCCACACCAUGGAACGGUUCACGGGCACGUCACCUGUCGCCGAGCUCGAGCACUGUCCCCACGUCACCAUCCUUGUCUCUCUUCAGCGCCUGUCGCGGCUUCGCGUCGACUUCCGUUCCGCGCGCGUCGUCCUCUGCGACGUCCUUUGCUGGAGCGACGGCGACGACGACGGGAGCGAAGGACUUUGUCAACGCGCUGCCCCGGCGUGCCCAAAUCAGGGGCGGUCUUCACUUCAACUGGCGCGAGGAGGUUAAGCGGUCCGGCAGCCGACUGAACGACAUCUCCUCUGCCAUGGAAGACGCCGCGCGCACCGACGAGCAGCGCCGGCGCGUGGCUGGCUGGACGCCGGUGGUCAAGACUCUGGGUGAUCAGCGUCUUCGCGUCGCCAUUGUCGGCCGCAUGAACAGCGGCAAGUCCUCGCUGUUCAACUUGCUCUGUCAGGACCCCACAAUGCCCGCAAAGAAGAAUAUUGUAAAGGACUUCAACGGCAUCACGCGCGACUGCGUGGAGGCGCACGCGGCGCUAGACGACCUGCACUUCACCGUCAUCGACACCCCAGGCCUCAUUGGUGGCAAGCUGGUCGAGGAGGCGUUCCGCACCGUUGAGACGGCGGACGCCGCGAUCUUCGUCACCGCUGUGGACGAGGACGUGUCUGCGGAGGAGCACGACCUGAUCCAGUACCUGGCAGCCAAGAAGAUGCCAGCGUGCCUGUUGGUCAACAAGAUGGACCUCGUGCCGGAGGAGGAGGAGUCUCUCGUACUGGACGCGUACAACCGCCUCGGCCUCGGCAAAGCCGUCCCGUUUUCGGCUCGCAAGCGGGAGGGCCUCGAUGCGCUGUCGGCCUUGCUCGAGCCGCUCUACCACAUUCACGCGAUGCGCAAAGUGGAGAACGACUGGGAUAUCGAGGAUCUCGCCAUGGCCGGUGACGAGGCGGCCAUGGAGGAGAUUCGCGAUCGCAACUGCACCGACCGGUACAUCCGCGUGGCCAUCGUCGGUCGCACGAACAGCGGCAAGACAAGCCUGGUGAACCGCCUCGUCGGCUACGAGCGAAACCGCGCCGCUGACGAGUCGAACACGACCCGCGACCCCAUCGAAAUCGCAUGCACGUACAAGGGGAGGAAGCUGAAGCUCAUCGACACGGCCGGGCUGGCGCGUCAGCGGUACCGCACUGACCGCGAGUUUCUCAGCCGCAUCCAUAGCCUCUCGCUGAACGAGAUUCGCUACGCGCACGUGGUGAUUGUGGUGUUUGACGCCACCGAGGGUCACCCGAACAAGUACGACAUGUCCAUCCUGCACAAGGUCGCCCAAGAGGGCCGCCCGUUCGUGCUGUGCGCGAACAAGUGGGACGCGGUGCUCGACCAAAGCGCAACCGCCGAGGCCAUCGACUUCAAGAUCAAGCGGCAGGUGCAGGAGGUGAAGUACAGCAACGCGGUGGUCGUCUCUGCGCACACUGGCAUGAACCUGACCUUGCUCAUGGACCAGGUGCUGGAGCUGUACGACACGUGGAACAAGCGCGUGCGACGUUCGGAGCUGACCAAGUUCUGGCGCAAAUUGGAGAAGUCCGUAAUCAUCCCGUACCACGUGGCACGAGUUGGACGCAUUACGCAGAUCAGCACCCGUCCGCCCACCUUCCUCUUGCAGCUGCAGACAAAGAAGGAGGAGAGUCAGCUGCCCAAGGCACUGCAGGAGAUGAUGAAGAACGCCAUCACCGAGGAAUUCGGCUUCCGCGGCGUGCCACUGCGGCUUGUGCAGGAGGUGAAAGACUCCAAUCCGGACUACAUCUAAGCUCUCCCCGCCGUCUACCUCGUCUCCCUCAUGUUGGUCGGCUGAACGUGGAGUAUAUAUAUAUGUGUGUGUGUGUGCAUGUGGAGUUGAGUUGCGCAGGGCGAGGGCGGUAGGACUUCCUCUGACGCGCAUGCACAGCAAGCUAAAGACCUAUGCACACACGUGGAUGUAGUCACUGCUGCUGCUGCUGCUUGCUCUACUUGUGCUGCUGCUCCUAUCCUAUCCUAUCCACCACACAGCCGCCGACGCCAGGGGGUGGGUGAUUGGGUUGCUAACCUUCACAGUUUUUGCUGUGGUUGGCUUUCUGUGAUUGCAUAACCGCUUAACACGGUGGCCCCGCUCCUC